UACGGGGGGGGCAAGCGUUGUUCGGAAUUACUGGGCGUAAAGGGCUCGUAGGCGGCCAACUAAGUCAUACGUGAAAUCCCUCGGCUUAACUGGGGAACUGCGUCUGAUACUGGAUGGCUUGAGUUUGGGAGAGGGAUGCGGAAUUCCAGGUGUAGCGGUGAAAUGCGUAGAUAUCUGGAGGAACACCGGUGGCGAAGGCGGCAUCCUGGACCAAUACUGACACUGAGGAGCGAAAGCCAGGGGAGCAAACGGG
rnacentral:rRNA from 1 species